GUGUAGUAUGAAAGGAGAGACGUUUAGCACUCCCCUAGACAAGGAUGGAACACAAAUAAUGGAAAGGGCACAAAACUUUCCAACAUUUUUUU